AAGAGGAAUUAACGAACCUGCCUGAGCAGAAAGUCCCAGAGCCUACAGAUCUUCCCUUCCUUCGGAAGGAGUCACAAGCCCCUAAAGCUGGAGAAGGCAGCAGCUACUUAGCAGUGGGAGCCAGGCCUGAAGCUUCAGACGCAGAAACGCUGGACAAGUGAGUUCCGGGCGCCCUCUAGGGGCUGCGUGGGGAGAGGCACUUGGAGCAAGAGCCCUGGGAGCCCGGGGUCUCAGGGACCCUAGGGAGUACUGGGGCGGGUGCUAUGGCGGAAAAU
rnacentral:lncRNA from 12 species